rnacentral:rRNA from 1 species
AUGUUCACGGCUUUCCAGGUGGACAAACAUACGUUCAAGGUGUGUUCUAUUUUGGGCAUGCCAGAUUCAGAACCUGAAGACUCGGACAAAGGAAGGAACUACUUCGUCAAAGCCUCGAUAGGCGAAGGCGAAUACUAUUGCCAAUGCUGCAAGUUUGAACGGGACGGUAUUGUGUGCUGUCACAUACUAAAAGUAAUGGACAUGAACGCUGUGACACGGAUGCCCCGCCAUUUCAUAAGAAGGCGAUGGACUUGGGACGCUGACGACGCAUUUGCGCCGCAGACAACAAACGCGGUUCUGGCUGUGCAUGACGAGAGACCUGAGGCGACCAUGAAAGCCAUGAGGCACGUUGUGCUGACAGAGAACUAUGCUGAGCUAAUUGAUGAAGCGUGA